UACUAAUUGGUCUCGCUUGGUUCGGAAUUACUGGGCGUAAAGCGCACGUAGGCGGAUAUUUAAGUCAGGGGUGAAAUCCCGCAGCUCAACUGCGGAACUGCCUUUGAUACUGGGUAUCUCGAGUAUGGAAGAGGUGAGUGGAAUUCCGAGUGUAGAGGUGAAAUUCGUAGAUAUUCGGAGGAACACCAGUGGCGAAGGCGGCUCACUGGUCCAUUACUGACGCUGAGGUGCGAAAGCGUGGGGAGCAAACAGGAUGAGAUAACCCUGUAGUCC
rnacentral:rRNA from 1 species